rnacentral:rRNA from 1 species
GUGGCGAACGGGUGAGUAACACGUGAGCAACCUGCCCCUGACUCUGGGAUAAGCGCUGGAAACGGCGUCUAAUACUGGAUACGAGUAGCGACCGCAUGGUCAGUUACUGGAAAGAAUUUUGGUUGGGGAUGGGCUCGCGGCCUAUCAGCUUGUUGGUGAGGUAAUGGCUCACCAAGGCGUCGACGGGUAGCCGGCCUGAGAGGGUGACCGGCCACACUGGGACUGAGACACGGCCCAGACUCCUACGGGAGGCAGCAGUGGGGAAUAUUGCACAAUGGGCGAAAGCCUGAUGCAGCAACGCCGCGUGAGGGAUGACGGCCUUCGGGUUGUAAACCUCUUUUAGCAGGGAAGAAGCGAAAGUGACGGUACCUGCAGAAAAAGCACCGGCUAACUACGUGCCAGCAGCCGCGGUAAUACGUAGGGUGCAAGCGUUAUCCGGAAUUAUUGGGCGUAAAGAGCUCGUAGGCGGUUUGUCGCGUCUGCUGUGAAAUCCGGAGGCUCAACCUCCGGCCUGCAGUGGGUACGGGCAGACUAGAGUGCGGUAGGGGAGAUUGGAAUUCCUGGUGUAGCGGUGGAAUGCGCAGAUAUCAGGAGGAACACCGAUGGCGAAGGCAGAUCUCUGGGCCGUUACUGACGCUGAGGAGCGAAAGGGUGGGGAGCAAACAGGCUUAGAUACCCUGGUAGUCCACCCCGUAAACGUUGGGAACUAGUUGUGGGG